rnacentral:rRNA from 1 species
GAGACAGCAGUAGCCGCGGUAAUACGUAGGGGGCAAGCGUUGUCCGGAAUUAUUGGGCGUAAAGCGCGCGCAGGCGGUCAUUUAAGUCUGGUGUUUAGUCCCGGGGCUCAACCCCGGAUCGCACUGGAAACUGGGUGACUUGAGUGCAGAAGAGGAGAGUGGAAUUCCACGUGUAGCGGUGAAAUGCGUAGAUAUGUGGAGGAACACCAGUGGCGAAGGCGACUCUCUGGGCUGUAACUGACGCUGAGGCGCGAAAGCGUGGGGAGCAAACAGGAUUAGAUACCCCAGUAGUCCCUGUCUCUUAUACA